rnacentral:rRNA from 1 species
AUGGCUCAGAUUGAACGCUGGCGGCAGGCCUAACACAUGCAAGUCGAACGGUAACAGGAAUCAGCUUGCUGAUUCGCUGACGAGUGGCGGACGGGUGAGUAAUGUCUGGGAAACUGCCUGAUGGAGGGGGAUAACUACUGGAAACGGUAGCUAAUACCGCAUAAUGUCGCAAGACCAAAGAGGGGGACCUUCGGGCCUCUUGCCAUCGGAUGUGCCCAGAUGGGAUUAGCUUGUAGGUGGGGUAACGGCUCACCUAGGCGACGAUCCCUAGCUGGUCUGAGAGGAUGACCAGCCACACUGGAACUGAGACACGGUCCAGACUCCUACGGGAGGCAGCAGUGGGGAAUAUUGCACAAUGGGCGCAAGCCUGAUGCAGCCAUGCCGCGUGUAUGAAGAAGGCCUUCGGGUUGUAAAGUACUUUCAGCGGGGAGGAAGGGAGUAAAGUUAAUACCUUU